rnacentral:rRNA from 1 species
GACGGAGGAUGCAAGUGUUAUCCGGAAUCACUGGGCGUAAAGCGUCUGUAGGUGGUUUAAAAAGUCCACUGUUAAAGGUUGAAGCUUAACUUCAAAAAUGCCGUGGAAACUUUUAAACUUGAGUAUGGUAGGGGUAGAGGGAAUUUCCAGUGGAGCGGUGAAAUGCGUAGAUAUUGGAAAGACCACCGAUGGCGAAGGCACUCUACUGGGCCAUUACUGACACUGAGGAGCGAAAGCAUGGGGAGCGAACAGG